ACAAGGAGAGAAGUAUGACUUCCUCUUCCUCUUUUUGGGUGGAACCGCUAGGCCUCUCCAGUUGUCAACAGCGUCUUCAUAUGUUGGAUUAGUGUUUGUGACAGCGUCAGACUUCCCAGAACAGGAAGCAUCCAUUUCUGCUUUUCCGUCUACACUGCAAGUUGUGGUGGGUAGUGGACUGGCUCCUGUGAUGAUCACUGUUGCGACAGCUGCAUUUUCUUCACCUUUUUGCUUUGCAGAAAAAAUUCUCGUAUUGCCCUCAAUGAAGGACAGAUGUCGAGCAAUGAAUUGAUCCACCCGAAUAGGCAAGUUUUCAUGCUUGAAGAGCCCACAUUUGAUGUUUUUGAACUCUGCUUCAACAUUGGCUGAACUUGCGCUGAUGUUGGUGUUUCGGAAGUGAGGGAUCAUUACCCCUGUCCAAAGUGGUCUGUCUGUGUUUGGUCAAAUGGAUCCACUUUUUCCAAGUCCUUACCCUCUACAUGUGGAAUGAUUACACACUCUAUUACAAUUCGGGCUUUCAGUCCCACUGGCAGAUCACCUUGAUGUAGUGUGCAACAUCAACCCGAACAAAACAAGGUGGCACUUUUGCUGACACUUUACCAAGUAAGACACCACAACAUUCACUGAUGUAGGUUUCAGAUCAGGAUGAGGAGUAAAACCCUUGACCAGAGCUCCAAGCAAAACCAGAGAAAAGUCACUCACAACCUCUUUUGGAAUUGGUGCACCUGCACGUAUCCAUUCUGUCAGCCAAUGUGUUACUGCAUUAACAUUGUGUCUCUCUGACAGCAUUUGCUCCACUGGGACACUUGAACUCUCAUCCCCUGCCAGAACACCCUGAUAUAAGAAAAUAUGGUCAGACAUGCCAUUUGGUCUCUGUAGUUUCCUCACCAUUGAGCCAGUUGCAUCCAAACUCACAGUGGGCUUAGUAGACUUCUUGGAUAUUGUCUUGUACAUAAACAUUUGUGUUUGACUCCAGUAGUGACAGAAGAACUUGUCCAGUCCAAUGUCUUUAAUGCUACCACUGUGAGGUGACAUAAUAUGAUCCUUUUCACCUAAUUCUAAGUCAUUUCUCUAUUGCUUUGCUUUGGGUGGCUAAAUUAGGAAGAUGGCUUGGCUCAGGAUCUCCAAAAUCCAUCAGCUUUGUUGCCUCUGAUGCCCUCCAUACACAGGGUUCCAUUCUACCCUCACACAGUUCUUUGGCUAUCUGCACACGCAAGUUACCAGACAUCACACGCUUGGAACAGCCAGUGUGCAGGGAGUCAUCAGUAUUUUUAAUUAAACACUUGAGCACCUCGGUUCUCGGUCACAUUUUAUGUGAAUGUGGCCAUGACAUUCCUUACAGUUGCCUCUGAUUUCUAUGUAUUUCUCUGUGGCUGAUGGAUAGACCUUGGCUCUUUUAAAGACAAAUGUGCAGGGGCUUUCACGUCUUCCCAAAUGUAAUGAUUUAUCACAUGCGUCAAGAUGUCAGGCUUCAAAAUUGUGUAUUCCCUUUUUUGUGUUUUAGAGCACUUGUUUUUGUAUUGAACUGUUUCAGGCAUAAAUUCAAUCCAUUUCUGAAAUGGAACUUGAAGAUCAAAAGUCCAGCAAACCUUUGGUCUUGGGGAAAGGGACCCUGGCUCAAAAUCAGUGUCAUCACUAGUGCCACUUGUUUCAUUAUCACUUUGAUAAAUAAACCCUAAAGCAGUCCAGAUGUUGUGUCUGUUCAAUUUAACAGAAGUAUAUAGAGCCUUUGCAGUGAUCUUGUUUUCUAGCUGCUCACUAAGCUCUGUCCAGAUGCUCUGAUUAGGAGUAACUAUGUUACCAUUUUGGACUAUGGCCUCUUUUGAUGAUCAGAGGACUGUGAAAAUGGAAUCCCUGUCGAUUGCUGCUUUCUUGGGCAUCUGGCAUAAGCAAAACAUAAUUACUCACUGAAAUAAUCCUUACGCAAAAAAGUAAUGUACAGUACAUACUUGUUUUCAUGUAUUUUUUUUUUCAGUUUCAUUUUUAUUGAACAUUUCUGCUGAAAACUUCUGCUGUACAUUUCUGCUGAACAUUUCUGCUGAACUAACUAAAAACCAUGGAGAUCAGGGCAGAAGAAAAACAUAUGGCCAAGAUGGCAAGGAGAACCAUGGCAUUUAUCACACUUGUCCUCUAUGUCCGGAUACAUCACAGAAAGUCGCGACUUGGACAGAUGGACUCUAUUUAAAACUGUGAACUGUAUAAGUCCAAGACGAGCACAAGAAGUGGUAGACUGUACCCUCCCUAUAGCACUUUCCCAACACUCCUCACUUAUCUGUACUACUAACUCCGUUUCCCACGCAUUCCUAAUUUUGUUACUCGACUCACUACCUAGCACCAGAAUAAAAUCAUAAAUCCUAGAAAUCAUUCCUCUCUGAUGCGGCUUGUUUGAAAACAAGCUUUCCCAACCUGUUCAGGAGGUGCAGAGGGGAAAUAAGGAAAACAUCUAGAAACGAAAUUCCGAAUUUGAAAAUAUCGGAAAAAAAAAUGCGCCACAGGAAGAUCAUAAGUGGAUGCCAGAUUGGCAAAGCUAUCAAACACACCAUCGGCAUACAGAUUUCUAACUUGUUUAAUACCCUUGUUAUACCAUACUGAAAAUGUGGAGUCCAAACACGAUGAAGGAAAUAGAUGGUUGUUGUCUAAAGGACCCAAAGAGGAUGCACCUACAAAUUUAAAGCGCCGUCUAAACUGAUACCAAGUCAUAAGUGUGUUGAGGACAACUAGAUUAUCAGUAUAUUGGGAGAGUUUUGUAGGUAAAGAGGAGUAAAGCAAAGCAGGUAAAGAGGAUUCCCUACACGACAAUAGUUCCAAUUUAGACCAAGAAGAUCCAGGAGAUUUAAGGCUGUAGCAAAGUUUAUGAAUGUGCGCAGCCCAGUAAUAGAAUUGAAAAUUGGGUAAUGCAAGUCCUCCACUAAGUCUACAUUUCUGCAAUUAUUUACUAACCCUUGGUGGCUUCCCUCCCAAAAUAAAUAUACUAAUUAUCUUAUCCAAUGAAUCGAAGAAUGAUUCUGUCAGAGAAAGAGGCACUUGCUGGAACAAGAAAAGAAACUUCAGUAAUAUAUUCAUUUUGACGACAUUGAUCCUGCCAAUUAGAGAAAGGGGUAAGUUACCCCAACUCUGAAUGUUGAUUUAACCAUUGAGAUAAGGGAAGUGAAGUUAGCUGAAGAAAGAUUAGAUAAACAACGUGUCACGUUGAUACCUAGGUAUUUAAAACCUGACUGACUAAAUCGAAACGGCAGAUCUGACUGUUGGGGAGAAAAUGCUGCAGUAUUGAAAGGGAAAACAGUCGCUUUUAUCUAAAUUUAAUUUAUAACCAGAGACGACACCGAAGGACUCCAGAACACUCAAGACAGCUGGCAAUAGGAUCGGUUACAUACAAUAACAAAUCAUCAGCAUAUAGUGACAAUUUGUAUUCUACCCCGUAUCGAACUAUUCCUUUAAACAAGGGAAAAGAUUUUGUUUUCAUGUAUUACUGUAUUUGCCAGAAUACAAGGAAAAUAUAAUAUAGUAAUAAUAUAUAAGGAUAUUAUAUCUUAUAUUAGGACCAAUAGGGGAAUGUUGACCCCUAGAUGCACAAUGUAUUCAAAAAACUAACAUGGAUACCAUGUGCAGCUGUAAAUUGCAUUUCAUAGCUACAUUAGCCAUACUACUAUUAGCAAUGAGAUUUCUGUUCAAUAAACACUGACAAUCUUAGCUCUCUUGAAUGGUGUACCAUUAUGAUUGAAGUUAAAUAAUAAUAUUGUAAUUGACAGUGUUAAAACAUUGAACUUACACUGGCCAGAAUUUUGAUUUAGUAACUAUAUCUACUUUUCCUGUACUAAUUUAAUACUAAUUUCCACAAGAGCAUCUUGAACAGCAAUGUUACUUACACCUAGUGGUGGCAGUGAAGUGUAGCUGAUGAUACUCCUUGUAAAUAAACGAAAAGUUCAAUCAUUGUUUACUGAACAAAUGAUGAUAUGAUCUGUCUUGAAAAAGUCUUGAAAAAGCAAUUCGACCCUGAAAGGGUGCUUACACCAAAGAGAUUUGCGCCUAUAAUUCAAUGUCUAAUAUUUCAUAAACGGAAGCAGCAUAAACGAAACUUUUAGUGGCACAAUCCAGCACAAACGAUUAUGACUAUUUGGGGUGAAUUUGGAGCAUGUGGGGGGGGCUGAGUGACCCCAGAAUGACCUUUUAAUAUCUCCAAAUCCGAAGCAGCACAAACAAAAAAAUUUACGGCAAAAACCAGCACAAACGAUUGAAAUUUUUGAUGAUGUUUUGCAUUGGGUGAGGGGCCAAUUUCACACAGGUGUAUUACAGACAUGUACACACCUUAAUCACACUAUUAACGUCGUGGGGGAGUUUUCACUGCAUUGUGCGACAGGACACAUUCACACAUGGCAGUGCUCAACCGUUUUACGGAAAACAAGAGAGCACAUCCAAAACUGCGUACUUACCUACUAUAUAGUAGGCGAAAUACAGUGAAAUACAGCACAAUACAUUGCCUCUUUAAAAACAUUAACUGCGGUUAUAAUUAUACAUAUCUGGUAGAACUGCAAAGCACUACAUGUGGUCUAUACCGUGAGGGUGCCAUCUUUUUGAUGGCAUGCUCACAACGGAGAAAUGUUGUCCUUUAUGUACAAGUGGAGAUAUUCCUGGUCAAACUGGGGUCAAUUUCAUAUGACCCCACUAACCUGUGAAACAUGGCACAUUUUACUAAUGGUUAAAUGUGAUCAUUUAAUGAUACCGAACAUUCAUCAAUAUAAUGUUAAAAAAAAAAAAAAUUGACAUUUGACAGAGAGAGACAGGUAAGGCGUCAGCUUUACAUCCCGCCCCUCUACCUUUCCCAUUGGCCUGACAAGAUGGUAAGAACCAAUGAACGUGGACUAUCUCGUGCUCUAUGACGUUAGGUUGUGCGCAAACCACACCAGUCUUCUGUGUAAACAAACUAUCUGAAUUUCAAUUAACUUUAUCAACACAACGCCAAAUAUUUGUUUCCCCGCCUAUUUGAUCCACUAUGAACAUAUUUAUUUGUCUAAAAUUAAAAGAGAAAUGAAGGACAUGAACACAAAACAUAACGUUAGGUUAAGAUUGUUACAGAAAAGAACAGGGAAAAUGUUUUCUUACCUGAUAU